GUUCAGUUCUACCAGCAACAUUCAUUGAAGGAGUAUUUUAAGGAUGUGGACACCACCCUCCAGACCCCUUCAACCAGCCUGAACAGAGUGAUACACCCUUCAACACACCCUCCCCAGGUGGCAGUAUGCGUUCGUUCGGCACAGCUAGGGCCAGGUACGACUUCUCAGCCAGAGACCGUACAGAGCUGUCUCUGAGAGAAGGAGACACAGUCAAGGUCCUGUCUAAGAAAGCUCACAAUGGAUGGUGGAAAGGAGAGGUCUAUGGACGGGUUGGUCUGUUCCCAGCUAACUAUGUAGAAGAGGAUUACUCUGAAUACUGCUGAUGUCGCCUCACUGUCACACCUUCACCUGUGUGUGAAAGAGACAGUGUGUCCCAAUUCAACCCCUACCCCUUCCCUUGGCCCUAACCAGUGCAGUCAAAAAUGUGAUUUUACUGUUUUGUUUUUUUCAACAAUAUCUCCACACUAUGAGGUUGAAAUAACACUCUGAAAUUGUAUAAAAUUACGAUAAUGUCCUUUUGAAAACAA